rnacentral:snoRNA from 1 species
GCAUGGGUUUGGAUUUAUGGCAGGUCCGUCCCCCUGGACUUCUCUUAGUGUCCCAUGCAAGAGCAAACUGUUGCCGCAAACAGUAACCUGGUCUUGUUCAGAGGCCUCAGUAUUGAAGCGGGUUGCACAAUG